GCACUGCUAAUGAGUCCCACAAUAGGACGAAACGGCCCGUCCAAUGC
rnacentral:hammerhead_ribozyme from 1 species